AGUUACAUGAGGCCCCAGAACACAGACGCACCAGAGUGCGUGGUAGGGAGGUAGAAAAUGGAGCGACUGCUGGCCUGCCCUGGUGAGCUUACUACAUGGAGGAGACAAGAAAUCUUGUGACCUGUGUGUAGGAAGAUGAGAAAAGGCUGGACAUCCAGAGUAGCCAGAGAAGCCCAGAAGGUCAAGCUUUAAUGAACUGAUGAGAAUUAGAGGAGGAAAGUGGAAGUGAUCAACGCUCAGAGCCUGCUCCAGAGUCCUCUGACCUUGGGGGAAGAGGAGACCUCGGAAUGUAUGGACCCCCCCACUUCCUGCCCCCACCCCUGACUCAAAAAUGUUCAUAGAGUUGUCAGAUACCACAGGGGAGGGUGGUGGGCUUAACUAGUGAUAGGGAGUCAGGGAUCCUGAUCAUGAGGCUGUUUGCUCUUAGUCUGGUCCUUGUUUAUAAACCCUCACCAUCAUCCAGGCUUUGAGGUCUCAGCUACCUUAGCCAGACUCCCUCUGAACAUCUGCCUUGGAGAAGGCUUGCCUCUGACCCAUCCAGAGAACUCAAAUGCUUCCCUUGCCUUCAGUUUUGUUUCCUGGGACCCUCUGACUUGCUCACUGCAUCCCUUUGCUUCAUCCUUGGAAGUGGAGACUUUGUAGCCUUCUUUGCACAUAAAUCUCUAAAUGUAUCAUUGGGACAUGACAGGCUGAGGAGAGGCGGGGCAGUUAACUUCUGGAAGUCACUGACAGUGUGCCCUGCAUUCUUCUAAGCGCUGAUCUCAACACUGUGUUAUUUGGUUCUUUCUCCUUACCUUGAGGGAGCUAUUACAGUGCUCCCUUACAGAUGAAGAAACCGUGGUUCAGAAGCUCCUGUGGGUAGGUGCCCCAGUGGCUCCCCAGGGCCCCUGCUCCCCGGCACUCAUGUCCGUGUAUAACACCUGUCCCUGGAGUGUGGACUGUACCUUGAGACUUGCUUCUAACAAACAGAAUACGGCAGAAGUGACGGGGUGUCACUUCUGAGAUUAAGCCACGAAAAGACUGUCACCUCCAUCUGUCUCCUGCUGGUCCGUCCUGAUGGAAGCCUGCCUCCAUGUUGUGAGCUGCUUUAUGGGAAAGUCCACACAGCAAGGAAUGGAGGGAGGCCUCCAGGCAAUAGCUUGGGAGGAGCUGCAUCCUGACAAUAAUCACGUGAGUGAGCUUGGAUUCACGUCCUCUUUGCUGGAGCCUCGAGAGAUGACAUGCUGAUUGCAGCCUGGGGGACUCUGAGCAGAGGCCCAGCUAAGCUGCAUCUAAAUUCCUGACCCACAGAAAUGGAAAGAUAAUAAAAGCAUG